rnacentral:rRNA from 1 species
UACGUAGGGUGCGAGCGUUGUCCGGAAUUAUUGGCGUAAAGAGCUCGUAGGCGGUCUGUCGCGUCGGAUGUGAAAACUCGGGCUCAACCCCGAGCCUGCAUUCGAUACGGGCGGGCUAGAGUUCGGUAGGGGAGACUGGAAUUCCUGGUGUAGCGGUGAAAUGCGCAGAUAUCAGGAGGAACACCGGUGGCGAAGGCGGGUCUCUGGGCCGAUACUGACGCUGAGGAGCGAAAGCGUGGGGAGCGAACAGG